rnacentral:lncRNA from 1 species
GCCGUUACAUCUGCCUCGGCAUGUGUGUCGGAUGUUGACUCGCCUGGAAUAGAAUUUCGUUGUUGCAUGGUCAUCGGGGGAGGAGGAACCGAUGGUCCUCUAGAAGAAGGAGACCCAAAGACUCUCUGAGUGUACUGAGUCUCGGGGACAGUCUCUUGUCCCGAAGAACCGGGAGCUGAUGAAGACGACGGGUCUAAACGAUUACCCGGCUCACCGAACAUCUCUCUGUAAUGGGCAGUAAGUCUACCUUUUCGAACCUGAGAAAAAAAUUUAAUUUUUUUAAUUUUCGUCAACAGUAUAUUUUCCAACAUUAUCCACCUAAUCAACACUAAAUAACAUAAGAUCCGUAAACUUAUUUAAAUUCCCUAUACUAACCACCUAAUCUACCUAAACUAACCAAAUUAAAGAGGAAUUAGAGAGGCUUACUAUUGCAACGAAACAGGGAGGAAG